UCUCAGUUCGGAUUGGAGGCUGAAACCCGACCUCCAUGAAGUUGGAUUCGCUAGUAAUCGCGCAUCAGCCAUGGCGCGGUGAAUACGUUCCCGGGCCUUGUACACACCGCCCGUCACACCAUGAGAGUUGGAAAUACCCGAAGCCUGUGAGCUAACAGUAAUGAGGCAGCAGUCGAAGGUAGAGCCAAUGAUUGGGGUGAAGUCGUAACAAGGUACC
rnacentral:rRNA from 1 species